rnacentral:rRNA from 1 species
GACGAACGCUGGCGGCGUGCUUAACACAUGCAAGUCGAACGGUGAAGGGGUCUGCUUUUGUGGGCCCUGGAUGAGUGGCGAACGGGUGAGUAACACGUGAGUAACCUGCCCCCUUCUUCUGGAUAACCGCAUGAAAGUGUGGCUAAUACGGGAUAUUCUGGGUCUGUCGCAUGAUGGGUCUGGGAAAGAUUGCGCCUUUGGGUGUUUUUGGUGGGGGAUGGGCUCGCGGCCUAUCAGCUUGUUGGUGGGGUGAUGGCCUACCAAGGCGGUGACGGGUAGCCGGGCGGAGAGGGUGGACGGUCACACUGGGACUGAGGCCCGGCCCAGACUCCUACGGGAGGCAGCAGUGGGGAAUAUUGCACAAUGGGCGCAAGCCUGAUGCAGCGACGCCGCGUGAGGGAGGGAGGCCUUCGGGUUGUAAACCUCUUUCGCCAGUGAAGCAGGCCUGCUCCUUGUGGGUGGGUUGACGGUAGCUGGAGAAGAAGCGCCGGCUAACUACGUG